rnacentral:tRNA from 1 species
GCCUCCGUAGCUCAGCGGCAGAGCGACUGCUUCGUAAGCAGUAGGUCGGGGGUUCAAAUCCCUCCGGAGGCU